rnacentral:ncRNA from 1 species
AGUAAGGCUAUGACGAAGAGAAGUAACAUAGAUUAUCGCUUCCAGAGAGCGGAUGAUGGUGAGAUGUCCGCAGAAUGAAUUUAUGUGAAUAACACUUUCGAGCUUCAAUCCGAAAGCAAUGGCAAGUAGGUGCGACGUGGUUGUACGACACACAACAGGGUUUAUCCCAUGAGUGGCUGCAAUGCAGCAAAUCAGGUGGUACCGCGGAAUAAGUUAGAUUAACUGUCCGUCCUGAAC